CGGUCUUUCUACUGAACUCCUUCUCCAAAGAGGACAAGGACCGAGGUCCUUCUUCCAGCCAUUCCACCGCCAGAACCAGAGUACUCGGAACAGUGCCCGGCACAAAGAGUGCCUUUGAGUUCCAGAGAACCUUGCCUGCCUGAGCUAAAGUACAGAGCUAUUCGAUGACUUCUAUUCCGGAAUGAUGUGUGAGCAAAGGGAGGACUCAAAUCUUUAGCAUCAAGAAGUCAAGGGAAGCCAAGAUCCGCCCAGAAGGCUUUUAUGGCAUAUGUUCAGCUGCCGAAGUGUCACACGAGGCUACAUGUUCACGAGAG